rnacentral:lncRNA from 1 species
GUCUUUGAGGAUGUAGAUGUGAGCUUCACCCAGGAGGAGUGGGCUUUGCUGGAUCCUUCCCAGAAGAAUCUCUACAGAGAUGUGAUGCAGGAAACCUUCGGGAACCUGUCCUCUAUAGGAAAUAAAUGGAAAGACCAGAAUAUUGAAGAUCACUACAGAAAUCUAAGGGUCAGGCAUGGUGGCUCACACCUGUAAUCCCAGCACUUUGGGAAGCAGAGGCAGUUGGAUCACUUGAACCUGGGAGGCGUUCUGGAGGUCAGGAGUUCGAGACCAGCUUGGCCAACAUGGUGAAACCCUGUGUCUGCUAAAAAUACAAAAAUUAGCCGGGCCUCAUGGCACAUGCCUGUAAUCCCAGCUACUCUGGAGGCUGA